GCGUUCCAAAGACAGCAGGCGCCGAAAGGCUUAAUUUCCUGCCGAGGUGCGGAUAAUCCUUAUGAGCUUAUCUGUGUGCUUUCGUGCUUUGGCGCGAAGGCGCUUUUUUGUUG
rnacentral:sRNA from 1 species